UGUCAAGGAAUGGGAAUCGAACCAACGACCUUCCGCAGAUGCCAUGACCACUAGGCUACCCUGGAC